rnacentral:rRNA from 1 species
UACGUAGGAGGCAAGCGUUGUCCGGAAUUACUGGGCGUAAAGCGUGCGCAGGCGGUUCGCUAAGACAGAUGUGAAAUCCCCGGGCUUAACCUGGGAACUGCAUUUGUGACUGGCGGGCUAGAGUAUGGCAGGAGGGGGGUAGAAUUCCACGUGUAGCAGUGAAAUGCGUAGAGAUGUGGAGGAAUACCGAUGGCGAAGGCAGCCCCCUGGGCCAAUACUGACGCUCAUGCACGAAAGCGUGGGGAGCAAACAGG